CCUACGGGCGGCUGCAGUGGGGAAUAUUGGACAAUGGGGGCAACCCUGAUCCAGCCAUGCCGCGUGUGUGAAGAAGGCCCUCGGGUUGUAAAGCACUUUCAGUGAGGAAGAACGCCUGGUGGUUAAUACCCAUCAGGAAAGACAUCACUCACAGAAGAAGCACCGGCUAACUCCGUGCCAGCAGCCGCGGUAAUACGGAGGGUGCGAGCGUUAAUCGGAAUUACUGGGCGUAAAGCGCGCGUAGGUGGCUUGAUAAGCCGGUUGUGAAAGCCCCGGGCUCAACCUGGGAACGGCAUCCGGAACUGUCAAGCUAGAGUGCAGGAGAGGAAGGUAGAAUUCCCGGUGUAGCGGUGAAAUGCGUAGAGAUCGGGAGGAAUACCAGUGGCGAAGGCGGCCUUCUGGACUGACACUGACACUGAGGUGCGAAAGCGUGGGUAGCAAACAGGAUUAGAUACACCUGUAGUC
rnacentral:rRNA from 1 species